rnacentral:rRNA from 1 species
UACGGAGGGUGCGAGCGUUGUCCGGAAUCACUGGGCGUAAAGGGCGCGUAGGUGGCCUGUGGAAGUCUGCGGUGAAAGCCCGGCGCUCAACGCCGGGUCGGCCGUGGAUACUCUCGGGCUUGAGCUUACUAGAGGCAGAUGGAAUUCCGGGUGUGGCGGUGGAAUGCGUAGAGAUCCGGAAGAACACCGGUGGCGAAGGCGGUCUGCUGGGGUAAUGCUGACACUGAGGAGCGAAAGCCAGGGGAGCAAACGGG